AUUGAACGCUGGCGGCGUGCCUAACACAUGCAAGUCGAGCGGUAACAGGUGUAGCAAUACAUGCUGACGAGCGGCGAACGGGUGAGUAAUGCUUCGGAAUCUACCUUAUGGUGGGGAAUAAUUAGCCGAAAGGUUAGCUAAUACCGCAUACGUCCUACGGGAGAAAGCAGGGGAUCGCAAGACCUUGCGCCAAAAGAUGAGCCGAAGUCGGAUUAGCUAGUUGGUAGGGUAACGGCCUACCAAGGCGACGAUCCGUAGCUGGUCUGAGAGGACGACCAGCCACACUGGGACUGAGACACGGCCCAGACUCCUACGGGAGGCAGCAGUGGGGAAUAUUGGACAAUGGGGGAAACCCUGAUCCAGCGACGCCGCGUGUGCGAAGAAGGCCUGCGGGUUGUAAAGCACUUUUAGUGGGGAUGAAAUGUGCAGGGUUAAUACCUCUGCAUUUUGACCUAACCCACAGAAAAAGCACCGGCUAACUCUGUGCCAGCCGCCGCAGUAA
rnacentral:rRNA from 1 species